rnacentral:rRNA from 1 species
UGUGUNGCGGAAAAUGCGUAGAUAUAGGAAGAAACACCAGUGGAGAAGGCGACCACGUGGACUGAUACUGACACUGAGGUGNGAAAGCGUGGGGAGCAACCAGGUUUAGAUCCCNGGGUAGUCCACCCCGUAAACGAUGUCAACUAGCCGUUGGAAUCCUUGAGAUUUUAGUGGCGCAGCUAACGCAUUAAGUUGCCCCCCUGGGGAGUACGGCCGCAAGGUUAAAACUCAAAUGAAUUGACGGGGGCCCGCCCAAGCGGUGGAGCAUGUGGUUUAAUUGGAAGCAACGGGAAGACCCUUACCAGCCCUUGACAUGCAGAGAACUUUCCAGAGAUGGAUUGGUGCCUUCGGGAACUCUGACCCAGGUGCUGCAUGGCUGUCGUCAGCUCGUGUCGUGAGAUGUUGGGUUAAGUCCCGUAACGAGCGCAACCCUUGUCCUUAGUUACCACCACGUUAUGGUGGGCACUCUAAGGAGACUCCCGGUGCCAAACCGGAGGAAGGUGGGGAGGACGUCAAGUCAUCAUGGCCCUUACGCCCUGGGCUCCACACGUGCUCCAAUGGUCGGUCCAGAGGGUUCCCAAGCCGCGAGGUGGACCUAAUCUCACAAAACCGAUUGUAGUCCGGAUCGCAUUCUGCAAUUGGAUUCCGGGAAUUCGGAAUCGCUAGUAAUCGCGAAUCAGAAUGUCGCGGUGAAUACGUUCCCGGGCCUUGUACACACCGCCCGUCACACCAUGGGAGUGGGUUGCACCAGAAGCAGGUAGUUUAACCUUCGGGAGGACG